CCCAUUCCGAACACAGAAGUUAAGCUCAUCUGCGCCGAUGGUACUGCGUGGGCAACUGCGUGGGAGAGUAGGUCGCCGCCAUCG
rnacentral:rRNA from 1 species